ACUACGGGGGGCAGCAGUGGGGAAUAUUGGGCAAUGGGCGCAAGCCUGACCCAGCAACGCCGCGUGAAGGAAGAAGGCUUUCGGGUUGUAAACUUCUUUUCUCAGGGACGAAGCAAGUGACGGUACCUGAGGAAUAAGCCACGGCUAACUACGUGCCAGCAGCCGCGGUAAUAAGUAGGUGGCAAGCGUUAUCCGGAUUUACUGGGUGUAAAGGGCGUGUAGGCGGGGACGCAAGUCAGAUGUGAAAACCACGGGCUCAACCUGUGGCCUGCAUUUGAAACUGUGUUUCUUGAGUACUGGAGAGGCAGACGGAAUUCCUAGUGUAGCGGUGAAAUGCGUAGAUAUUAGGAGGAACACCAGUGGCGAAGGCGGUCUGCUGGACAGCAACUGACGCUGAGGCGCGAAAGCGUGGGGAGCAAACAGGAUUAGAUACCCCUGUAGUC
rnacentral:rRNA from 1 species